UUUGAUAUUUUACAUUUAAUAUUUGCUUCGGGUUGGUGUGGUGAAAAAUUUUGUGUUUCACUCGGGGGCAAAUUUUGUUUAACCCUCGUGCUUUGAAACCCUCGCUACGCUCAAGAUUCCAUUCUUCGAACCACUCGCUACGCUCGUGGUUCAAUUUUGGAAUCUUUCGCUUGCUCGGGUAUCAAUAUUAGCACGAGCGGUUAAACAACAACUUUGCUCCCUUGUAAAACAAAUAACUAUUAUUUAUCCAUUGGGUUCCGUAGCCAAAUGGCAAAAAACGGAACCCUUAUAGAUUCGUCAUGUCUGUCUGUCUGUCUGUCUGUCCGUCCGUAUGUCACAGCCACUUUGUUCCGAAACUAUAAGCACUAUACUGUUGAAACUUGGUAAGUAGAUGUAUUCUGUGAACCGCAUUAAGAUUUUCAUACAAAAAUAGAAAAAAAACAAAUAAAAUUUAGGGUUCCCCAUACAUAGAACUGAAACUCAAAAUUUUUUUUUUCAUCAAACCUAUACGUGUGGGGUAUCUAUGGAUAGGUCUUCAAAAAUGAUAUUGAGGUUUCUAAUAUCAUUUUCUUCUAAACUGAAUAGUUUGCGCGAGAGACACUUCCAAAGUGGUAAAAUGUGUCCCCCCCCCUGUAACUUCUAAAAUAAGAGUAUGAUAAAACUAAAAAAAAUAUAUGAUGUACAUUACCAUGCAAACUUCCACCGAAAAUUGGUUUGAACAAGAUUUGGUAAGUAGUUUUUUUUUAAUACGUCAUAAA